rnacentral:lncRNA from 1 species
CCAGGCCCCAAACAAGAACGAAGCCGAUUUUUGUGUCUCCUCUCUUUAACUUUAUUUCAUCAAAUUAGCUCUUAAAAAAAAAAAAAAAAAGGAGGGGGAGAAAUAGUAGGAGUAGUACGGUAGAGGAAGCCUUCCUCGCCAACUUACGGAAACUUUUAAAGGGCUUGGGGGCUUUGAAAAGAAGCUUGUCUCCUUUUUCCAGAGUCGAAGGAGGAGGUGGUCGUGGCUUCUUCUAGAGGGGCACAGCUUUCCACCCUGUGGAUCACCACUUCGAACAAUGUCUCCAGAUUCUGAAAUGAAGAUGAGAAGGUGUCUUCUGCGGUGGUGAUCAUGGCCUGCAAAGAAGCAGAUUCUUCUGAAUUGAAACAGCAGUGAGCCUGACGCGCAUUCAUUUUUAAAGCUGGUAAUCUUGAGUAUCACAUCUUCUCUUCAAUGCGUGCUCAAAAAUUCCCAUUCAAAUCAUAUCCUAAGGACUGAGCCACGAGGAUCCACAGGAGCCCAUGAUAACUUAACUGUGGCAUGAUGGCCGCCCCUCCCACUCCAAACAAACCAGUGAAGGAUAAAAUGGAUUCACAUGUGCGCAAGGCUGCACCAUGAAAGUAAGAUGCUUCUCACUGCAUUCCACCAGAAAUGCACAGACGGCUUCUACAAUGACUUCACUCACUGCAUUGCAACACUGCACUCUGGCCAAGUGCUGGAGUUUGCUAAUUUGUGUGUUUUCACUGGAGACCUGCUGAUUCAAUCAUUCUAAAGAUGCCCAUUUCUUCCACGCCAGAGAUUUUAUGGCUCAGAGGAUUAGAAUCUUUUAUCCCAACAAACCCUGGAGCUCUAUAUAUUCUGAUUUUUAUGGUAAGCUUCUCUAAUAAACUGUUUAAAAC